UUGGAUUCAAUAUAGGCCUUAUCACUUUUAGGAUGUUUGGUGUUGAAUAUCGAUAUAACCAUAGAGAAAUGGCUGAACUUCUAGGAUCCCCAAAUGGCCCUGAUGUUUUUACCGUCACCCAAGAAGAAUGACUCACGAACCUUGAACUAAACUAUUUUGGGGGAAGAAUUACCGGAAAUAACCAUCCUGAGCCAAAUGGCAUGCAUUAUGAGAACAUUCAUAAUCCUGCGAUCUG
rnacentral:lncRNA from 1 species